rnacentral:rRNA from 1 species
AACGCGAAGAACCUUACCCAGGCUUGACAUGCAGAGGACAGUGCUGGAAACAGCAUCUCCCUUCGGGGCCUCUGCACAGGUGCUGCAUGGCUGUCGUCAGCUCGUGCCGUGAGGUGUUGGGUUAAGUCCCGCAACGAGCGCAACCCUUAUCAUUAGUUGCCAACACUUAGGGUGGGAACUCUAAUGAGACUGCCUGGGUUAACCAGGAGGAAGGUGAGGAUGACGUCAAGUCCGCAUGGCCCUUAUGUCUGGGGCAACACACGUACUACAAUGGUCGGUACAGAAGGCAGCGAAAUCGCGAGAUGGAGCAAAUCCCCAAAGCCGGCCUCAGUUCAGAUUGUAGUCUGCAACUCGGCUACAUGAAGAUGGAAUUGCUAGUAAUGGCGGGUCAGCACACCGCCGUGAAUACGUUCCCGGGCCUUGUACACACCGUAGUAC